UGCAAGUCGGACGGGAUAGAAGAGCUUGCUUUUCUUGAGAGUGGCGCACGGGUGCGUAACACGUAUGUAACCUACCUUGUUCAGGGGGAUAGCCUCUCGAAAGAGAGAUUAAGACCGCAUAACAUUAUUGGAUGGCAUCAUUUGAUAAUCAAAUAUUUAUAGGAACAAGAUGGGCAUGCGGAACAUUAGCUAGUUGGUGAGGUAACUGCUCACCAAGGCUACGAUGUUUAGGGGAUCUGAGAGGAUGACCCCCCACACUGGUACUGAGACACGGACCAGACUCCUACGGGAGGCAGCAGUAAGGAAUAUUGGUCAAUGGGCGGAAGCCUGAACCAGCCAUGCCGCGUGCAGGAAGACGGCCCUACGGGUUGUAAACUGCUUUUGUACCGGAAUAAACCUUUGGUCGUGACCAGAGCUGAAUGUACGGUAAGAAUAAGGAUCGGCUAACUCCGUGCCAGCAGCCGCGGUAAUACGGAGGAUCCAAGCGUUAUCCGGAUUUAUUGGGUUUAAAGGGUGCGUAGGUGGCCUGUUAAGUCAGGGGUGAAAGACGGUAGCUUAACUAUCGCAGUGCCUUUGAUACUGACGGGCUUGAAUACACUAGAGGUAGGCGGAAUGUGACAAGUAGCGGUGAAAUGCAUAGAUAUGUCACAGAACACCAAUUGCGAAGGCAGCUUACUAUG
rnacentral:rRNA from 1 species